UACGGAGGAUGCAAGCGUUAUCCGGAUUUAUUAGGUUUAAAGGGUGCGUAGGUGGGCGUUUAAGUCAGUGGUUAAAGCCAUUAGCUUAACUAAUGUAUGCCAUUGAUACUGGAUGUCUUGAAUGUGGUAGAGGUAGGCGGAAUGUGUUGUGUAGCGGUGAAAUGCUUAGAUAUAACACAGAACACCGAUUGCGAAGGCAGCUUACUAUUCCAUUAUUGACGCUGAUGCACGAAAGCGUGGGGAUCAAACAGG
rnacentral:rRNA from 1 species